GCAGCCUCCCCAUACCCAUAUGUUCCAGUAAAUCCUCCGAAAUUAAAAUUUGUAAUAUUUCAAUCUACAAGAAUGAGAUUUAAGCCUUGUUUGGGUAAACAAAUUUGGAUAAGCUUAAUAAGCCAUUAUCGAAAUAAGUUAAAAACAACUUAUGAACAUGUCAUAACUCAUAAGUUCCCCCAAAUAGUUUCGUAAGUGCUUAUGCCGGUAGAUAAGCUCAAAUAAGCCAAUCCAAACAAGCCCUUAUAGAUAGCAUGUUUCUAUUCUGCAUCAUCUAACUUAUCAACUAACAACCAAAACCCAACACACCAAUCGAUGCCUACUUGCUUGCUGAUGUAUAACUUCAGAAUAUGAUAAAUGUACAGAAAUCAAAUUCUACAGUCUAUACUAUUUCAUUCAGUUCAUAAACCAAAUGAAGAUUUAUGCAACACAUACGAGAUAAAAGGGGUAAACUGAA
rnacentral:lncRNA from 1 species